rnacentral:rRNA from 1 species
GAUGAACGCUGGCGGCGUGCUUAACACAUGCAAGUCGAACGGAAAGGCCUCUGCUUGCAGGGGUACUCGAGUGGCGAACGGGUGAGUAACACGUGGGUGAUCUGCCCUGCACUUCGGGAUAAGCCUGGGAAACUGGGUCUAAUACCGGAUAGGACAAUGGUUUGGAUGCUGUUGUGGAAAGUUUGUCGGUGUGGGAUGAGCUCGCGGCCUAUCAGCUUGUUGGUGGGGUAAUGGCCUACCAAGGCGUCGACGGGUAGCCGGCCUGAGAGGGUGUACGGCCACAUUGGGACUGAGAGACGGCCCAGACUCCGGCGGGGGGCAGCAGGGGGGAAUAUUGCACAAUGGGAGCAAGCCUGAUGCAGCGACGCCGCGUGGUGGAUGACGGCCUUCGGGUUGUAAACUCCUUACGCUAGGGACGAAGCGUUUUUGUGACGGUACCUGGAGAAGAAGCACCGGCUAACUACGUG